GCUUAACGCGAAGAACCUUACCAGGGCUUGAAUGCAUUAUGACAGGGGUGGAGACACCUUUUCCUUCGGGCAUUUUGCAAGGUGCUGCAUGGUUGUCGUCAGCUCGUGCCGUGAGGUGUCAGGUUAAGUCCUAUAACGAGCGCAACCCCUACCGUUAGUUGCCAGCGGGUCAUGCCGGGGACUCUAGCGGGACUGCCGGUGCAAACCGUGAGGAAGGUGGGGAUGACGUCAAAUCAUCACGGCCCUUACGUCCUGGGCCACACACGUGCUACAAUGGCCGGUACAGAGAGCGGCCACGCCGCAAGGCGGAGCGAAUCUACGAAACCGGUCACAGUUCGGAUCGGGGUCUGCAACCCGACCCCGUGAAGCUGGAAUCGCUAGUAAUCGGAUAUCAGCCAUGAUCCGGUGAAUACGUUCCCGGGUCUUGUACACACCG
rnacentral:rRNA from 1 species